CAGUCGAGGCAGUAUGCAGUAAUGGGUGUUUGCCUUUUUCUUCAUAUUUCUGCAUUUUCGGCCACAUGCAUCAAGAUAAUUUUACCAAAUAAUAAUUGCAGCAGUCAGUACUCUUUAAUUUGAUGAAUGAAACAUAAUAGUGGACCACCUUAGACAAAUGAACCCCUUUCUACUAGAACUUUUUUGUGAAAAGCAUUCUAAGAGAAGUAUGUGUGAUAUAUACAUGCACCUCUCACUCCUAGCAUAAAUAUAGAAUCGACUGGUUAACUAGUUGACGAUGUAAAUUAAUUUAAAGGAAGUUGAGCUUCAUGAAGAUAUUGAAUUUUUGAUAAAUGUGAAUUGAGAAUAUGUUGAUGAUCUAAAAUCAAU
rnacentral:lncRNA from 1 species